rnacentral:rRNA from 1 species
GACGAACGCUGGCGGCGUGCUUAACACAUGCAAGUCGAACGAAGUGGCAAACGGGUGAGUAACGCGUAAUCAACCUGCAUUUCAGUGGGGGACAACAGUUAGACACGAAAGCUAAUACCACAUAUUGAAGGAGGGGUUUGCGUCUGAUUAGAUAGCUGGAUGGGGAACGGCCCACCAAGGCGAUGAUCAGUAGCCGGUCUGAGAGGGUGAACGGCCACAUUGGGACUGAGACACGGCCCAGACUCCUACGGGAGGCAGCAGUGGGGAAGAUUGCACAAUGGGCGCAAGCCUGACGCAGCAAGGCCGCGUGGAUGAAGAAGGCCUUCGGGUUGUAAAGUACUGUCAGCGGGGAGCGGUACCCGAAGAAGAAGCACCGGCUAACUACGUGCCAGCAGCCGCGGUAAUUC